UACGGAGGGGGCGAGCGUUAUUCGGAAUUAUUGGGCGUAAAGGGCGCGUAGGCGGCUGGGCAAGUCAAAGGUGAAAUCCCUCGGCUCAACUGAGGAACUGCCUUUGAAACUGCCUGGCUUGAGGCCGGGAGGGGGUAGCGGAAUUCCCAGUGUAGCGGUGAAAUGCGUAGAUAUCAGGAAGAACACCCGUGGCUAAGGCGGCUCUCUAGUACGGUACUGACGCUGAGACGCGAAAGCGUGGGGAGCGAACGGG
rnacentral:rRNA from 1 species